rnacentral:rRNA from 1 species
UACGUAGGGUGCAAGCGUUGUCCGGAAUUAUUGGGCGUAAAGAGCUCGUAGGCGGUUCGUUGCGUCGGCUGUGAAAACCCGAGGCUCAACCUCGGGCCUGCAGUCGAUACGGGCGGACUGGAGUUCGGCAGGGGAGACUGGAAUUCCUGGUGUAGCGGUGAAAUGCGCAGAUAUCAGGAGGAACACCGGUGGCGAAGGCGGGUCUCUGGGCCGAUACUGACGCUGAGGAGCGAAAGCGUGGGGAGCGAACAGG